rnacentral:rRNA from 1 species
GCGGACAGUGUCUGGUGGGUAGUUUGACUGGGGCGGUCUCCUCCUAAAGAGUAACGGAGGAGCACGAAGGUUGGCUAAUCCUGGUCGGACAUCAGGAGGUUAGUGCAAUGGCAUAAGCCAGCUUGACUGCGAGCGUGACGGCGCGAGCAGGUGCGAAAGCAGGUCAUAGUGAUCCGGUGGUUCUGAAUGGAAGGGCCAUCGCUCAACGGAUAAAAGGUACUCCGGGGAUAACAGGCUGAUACCGCCCAAGAGUUCAUAUCGACGGCGGUGUUUGGCACCUCGAUGUCGGCUCAUCACAUCCUGGGGCUGAAGUAGGUCCCAAGGGUAUGGCUGUUCGCCAUUUAAAGUGGUACGCGAGCUGGGUUUAGAACGUCGUGAGACAGUUCGGUCCCUAUCUGCCGUGGGCGCUGGAGAACUGAGGGGGGCUGCUCCUAGUACGAGAGGACCGGAGUGGACGCAUCACUGGUGUUCGGGUUGUCAUGCCAAUGGCACUGCCCGGUAGCUAAAUGCGGAAGAGAUAAGUGCUGAAAGCAUCUAAGCACGAAACUUGCCCCGAGAUGAGUUCUCCCUGAGACUUAGAGUCUCCUGAAGGAACGUUGAAGACGACGACGUUGAUAGGCCGGGUGUGUAAGCGCAGCGAUGCGUUGAGCUAACCGGUACUAAUGAACCGUGAGGCUUAACCUU